GCCUCAGGCAGGAUCAGGGGUCACAGCCACACCUGCAGGACUGAGCAGGUGAAAACAAGUCAGGCUGUGAAAGAAAUCCCCCUUUUCUAAACUUUGCCUUGGAGUCCAUGACCUGAUGGGACAGGACUCAGACCUGGGGCAGGGAGGUCUGGGUUUUCCUCCAACCCUGUCACCUUUGUGAAGCUGAUUCUUUUCUGUGCCUCAGUGGCCUUGUCCGCAAUGCAGACUAAACCCCCUUUCACAGUCACCUUCCAGAACCCGAGUACACGUCACAAGCUCCCAGGCAUCCACAGGGGCACUGCACUUCACAGUUGAUGGAAAUGCUUCUCCUCCCUCAUCUCUGAGGAAAUGAAGGUCUGAUGGGAUUGAAAGCCAUCUACAGGUGGCCUUGCCACUUCUAAAUGAAAAAGGCGAAAAGUGGGAAGUUGCAUUCAGCGUGUGUUUUGCACGAAUGGUUGUAGAGGCAGCAAGAUGGGCCCGGCCAACUUCUUUCCUGGAACCACUCAGCAUCUCAGCAUCUCCACAUCUCAGCACCUCCGAAUCUCAGCAUCCAGCUCGAGCUGUGAACCACAUCUGUGGUGCAUCUGUGCUUUAUCUGGUUUAUUUCAUGGACCUAAGAGGAAACCGAAAGGUCACAGAUGGAGGGAGCACACCGUCCCGGGUGACACAGACACAUCCAGUGACCUGAAGUAACUUGGGCAAUGCAGUAACUCGGAAGCCAUUUCCACACCUGGAAACGAAAAUAAUCAUCCGCAGAGCUGUUCAGUCUGAUCACUGGUUCCAUGAGACUUAGACUGGAAAAGUCAACUGACCACACAAAAAG
rnacentral:lncRNA from 1 species